GUCUUCGAGUCGUUGAUUUCACACUGCCGAGAAAAGCCUCUAGAUAGAAAAUAGGUGCCCGUACCGCAAACCGACACAGGUAGUCAAGAUGAGAAUUCUAAGGUGAGCGAGCGAACUCUCGUUAAGGAACUCGGCAAAAUGACCCCGUAACUUCGGGAGAAGGGGUGCUCUUUAGGGUUAACGCCCAGAAGAGCCGCAGUGAAUAGGCCCAAGCGACUGUUUAUCAAAAACACAGGUCUCUGCUAAACCGUAAGGUGAUGUAUAGGGGCUGACGCCUGCCCGGUGCUGGAAGGUUAAGAGGAGUGGUUAGCUUCUGCGAAGCUACGAAUCGAAGCCCCAGUAAACGGCGGCCGUAACUAUAACGGUCCUAAGGUAGCGAAAUUCCUUGUCGGGUAAGUUCCGACCCGCACGAAAGGCGUAACGAUUUGGGCACUGUCUCAACGAGAGACUCGGUGAAAUCAUAGUACCUGUGAAGAUGCAGGUUACCCGCGACAGGACGGAAAGACCCCGUGGAGCUUUACUGUAGCCUGAUAUUGAAAUUCGGCACAGCUUGUACAGGAUAGGUAGGAGCCUUUGAAACGUGAGCGCUAGCUUACGUGGAGGCGCUGGUGGGAUACUACCCUAGCUGUGUUGGCUUUCUAACCCGCACCACUUAUCGUGGUGGGAGACAGUGUCAGGCGGGCAGUUUGACUGGGGCGGUCGCCUCCUAAAAGGUAACGGAGGCGCUCAAAGGUUCCCUCAGAAUGGUUGGAAAUCAUUCAUAGAGUGUAAAGGCAUAAGGGAGCUUGACUGCGAGACCUACAAGUCGAGCAG
rnacentral:rRNA from 2 species